rnacentral:rRNA from 1 species
UACAGAGGGGGCAAGCGUUGUUCGGAAUUACUGGGCGUAAAGGGCGCGUAGGCGGCCUUCUAAGUCGAACGUGAAAUCCCCGGGCUCAACCCGGGAACUGCGUCCGAUACUGGAAGGCUUGAAUCCGGGAGAGGGAUGUGGAAUUCCAGGUGUAGCGGUGAAAUGCGUAGAUAUCUGGGAGGAACACGGUGGCGAAGGCGAACAUCCUGGACCGGUAUUGACGCUGAGGCGCGAAAGCCAGGGGAGCAAAGCGGG